rnacentral:tRNA from 1 species
GAAAUAACUUUGUUAAAGCUUCUAACUUUAAACUCAAGCGUAAAUACGUUUUUAUUUCU